rnacentral:rRNA from 1 species
UACGUAGGUGGCGAGCGUUGUCCGGAUUUACUGGGCGUAAAGGGAGCGUAGGCGGACUUUUAAGUGAGAUGUGAAAUACUCGGGCUCAACUUGAGUGCUGCAUUUCAAACUGGAAGUCUAGAGUGCAGGAGAGGAGAAUGGAAUUCCUAGUGUAGCGGUGAAAUGCGUAGAGAUUAGGAAGAACACCAGUGGCGAAGGCGAUUCUCUGGACUGUAACUGACGCUGAGGCUCGAAAGCGUGGGGAACAAACAGG